GUCAUAUCCUCGGUAAUCCGUGUCAUUGUGUAGGCAGAGUUGAAUUAACUACUAUAGUUAGGCAAGGGUCACAUGUAACCCUCUCAAUGAUCCUUUGCCACCCAUCCCUGAACCCCUUGAUCUGUGUGUCCAGCCAAGGUUGAUGAUUCUUCCACAAUAAGAACAAUUCUUCACUCUAGUGCUUGUCUUUCUCUUUUAGAAACUCUAUGAAAAUCCCGUAAGGUAGAACCAACAAAGUCUAAAACACUAUCAGUGGGAGUGAUUUAUCAUGGCAACUGUCGACUUAAAACUUUCAAGUAAAGAAACGCUUGUUUUACUGACCUACAAGUAGGAGAAUAAUUUCAAGGCUGGAAGCUAGAACCUUCAGAAUCCAGAAAAAUCCCCAGGCCUGAUAUGUAAGCUGUAGCCAAAGAAACAGAUCACAGGCCACACUAAAAUUGUGAACUUCAUGGCAAUUGCUCCAGUCCCACCUGCUCCAGAUACCUAAAUCAUGAAGGCUUACUAGCAAACCUGUUUCUGGAUAUCUGCUAUUGGAUAACAAACUACGGGGAAACCUAGUGACUUAUUACCGUGGAUUAUUGCCCCUCGUGUUUCUGCACUCAGCUAGACACCACUUCUCAGCUUCCCUUGCAGCAAAGGAUGUCGAAGUGACUGAGGUCCACCCCAGAGGAAUGUGGGCAGAAGUCAUGACAACCACUUCCAGGCUGUGCCUACAACAACCUCCAAUAAGACUUCUCUGGAUUAUUUAUCUCCUCACACUCUGUAUCUUGACUGAAUGAUGAGGACUCUAGGUACUUAAAGAUGAACAAAGCCAUAAAACUCUAAGGAACCUGAUUCCCUGAAUGACCCCAUGGACAGCCACUCAGUCAGGAUCUAUUCUAUGAGUACUGAACUACCACACAUGAGCAAGAAGUAAAAAGUUAAAAUAAGUCACUGAAAAUUAAGAGCUUAUCUGCUCAUGUUAGCCUGUUACAAGGCCCUGUGGAAUUUGGCUGAAAACAUGACAGUAAGCACAUGAAAACCUCUCCAGCCCUCCAACCCCAUUAAAUCAUAAGAAGGGACUUGAAACGCACACACACACACACACACACACACACGUAGACAUAAAUGGCACAGAAGUGGAAAAAAUUGGAAGAAAGAGGAGUUCAGAAAAAAAAGCAAAAUUCUCAGGAUGUGAGGCUCAGGGAAAGUAAAGAGGAAAUGAACAGGGGCUUCUGGGAAAGAAAUGACUGGUAGGUAUACAGUAUUUAUGCCUAC
rnacentral:lncRNA from 10 species